rnacentral:misc_RNA from 1 species
GAUGAAGAACGUAGCGAAAUGCGAUAAGUAGUGUGAAUUGCAGAAUUCAGUGAAUCAUCGAAUCUUUGAACGCACAUUGCGCCCCUUGGUAUUCCAUGGGGCAUGCCUGUUCGAGCGUCAUCUGUACCUUCAAGCUCUGCUUGGUGUUGGGUGUUUGUCUCGCCUUGCGCGUAGACUCGCCUUAAAACAAUUGGCAGCCGGCGUAUUGAUUUCGGAGCGCAGUACAUCUCGCGCUUUGCACUCAUAACGACGACGUCCAAAAGUACUUUUUACACUCUUGACCUCGGAUCAGGUAGGGAUACCCGCUGAACUUAGGCAUAUCAAUAAGCGGAGGA